GAUGAACGCUGGCGGCGUGCCUAAUACAUGCAAGUCGAGCGAACAGACGAGGAGCUUGCUCCUCUGACGUUAGCGGCGGACGGGUGAGUAACACGUGGAUAACCUACCUAUAAGACUGGGAUAACUUCGGGAAACCGGAGCUAAUACCGGAUAAUAUAUUGAACCGCAUGGUUCAAUAGUGAAAGACGGUUUUGCUGUCACUUAUAGAUGGAUCCGCGCCGCAUUAGCUAGUUGGUAAGGUAACGGCUUACCAAGGCAACGAUGCGUAGCCGACCGGAGAGGGUGAUCGGCCACACUGGAACGGAGACACGGUCCAGACUCCUACGGGAGGCAGCAGUAGGGUAUCUUCCGCAAUGGGCGAAAGCCUGACGGAGCAAGGCCGCGUGAGUGAUGAAGGUCUGCGGAUCGUAAAACUCUGUUAUGAGGGAAGAACAAAUGUGUAAGUAACUAUGCACGUCUUGACGGUACCUAAUCAAAAAGCCACGGCUAACUACGUG
rnacentral:rRNA from 1 species